rnacentral:rRNA from 1 species
AUUGAACGCUGGCGGCAGGCUUAACACAUGCAAGUCGAGCGAGCGGCGGACGGGUGAGUAAUGUCUGGGAAACUGCCUGAUGGAGGGGGGUGACUACUGGAAACGGUAGCUAAUACCGCAUACCAUCAGAUCUGCCCAGAUGGGCUUAGCUAGUAGGUGGGGUAAUGGCUCACCUAGGCGACGAUCCCUAGCUGGUCUGAGAGGAGGACCAGCCACACGGGAACUGAGAAACGGUCCAGACUCCUAGGGGGGGCAGCAGUGGGGAAUAUUGCACAAGGGGCGCAAGCCUGAUGCAGCAAUGCGGCGUGUGUGAAGAAGGCCUUCGGGUUGUAAAGCACUUUCAGCGAGGAGGCGUUACUCGCAGAAGAAGCACCGGCUAACUCCGUGCCAGCCGCCGCGGUAAUUC